rnacentral:ncRNA from 1 species
UGAUAGCGAUGAAGCGAGAGGUUGCUGCAAGAGAUUGCAGGUUUUCCGUGGAGCGAAUGUCAAGUUAGGAAACUGGCGACAA